rnacentral:rRNA from 1 species
AUUGAACGCUGGCGGCAUGCUUUACACAUGCAAGUCGAACGGUAACAGGCCGCAAGGUGCUGACGAGUGGCGAACGGGUGAGUAAUGCAUCGGAACGUGCCCAGUCGUGGGGGAUAACGCAGCGAAAGCUGUGCUAAUACCGCAUACGAUCUAUGGAUGAAAGCGGGGGACCGUAAGGCCUCGCGCGAUUGGAGCGGCCGAUGUCAGAUUAGGUAGUUGGUGGGGUAAAGGCCUACCAAGCCGACGAUCUGUAGCUGGUCUGAGGGGACGACCAGCCACACUGGGACUGAGACACGGCCCAGACUCCUACGGGAGGCAGCAGUGGGGAAUUUUGGACAAUGGGCGCAAGCCUGAUCCAGCAAUGCCGCGUGCAGGAAGAAGGCCUUCGGGUUGUAAACUGCUUUUGUACGGAGCGAAACGGCGAGCUCUAAUACAGUUUGCUAAUGACGGUACCGUAAGAAUAAGCACCGGCUAACUACGUGCCAGCCGCCGCGGUAACAC